AGCUUUGUGCAGUGGCAGAAUCAUAGCCAGUGAGGUUUAUCUGAGGUGCAAUUAUUUCUAAUUGAGAAAGAUUUCUAACUUAAAAACUUAAAAAAUUAGAAUAACUUUGCUUAGA
rnacentral:snRNA from 1 species